rnacentral:misc_RNA from 1 species
AAAACAACAAGCUUCAAUAAUGGGUCUUUUGGAGUCUUGUGGACUGGUCGAAAACAACACUUGUUUUGUGGAAUUUGGUGCAGGAAGAGUUGAGUUAUUGGACUGUUCAAGCAGUACCAGAUGAAUCGACCUGCAGCUUUGUGUCAAUAGAUAAGGGUUGUCAACGACAUAAGGUAAGAAGGAUCAAGUUAUAUACUUUUAUCAUUGACAUUGUUUACUUGUUUUUUAUUGAUGGCUUGCUGUUGUUAGGACAGUUAUGUCGUUAAUACCACGUAAAGGUCAGUACUGAUCCUUAUUUCGUUAGUGCCACGUAAAGGUCAGUACUGAUCCUUAUGCCGUUAGUGCCACGUAAAGGUCAGUACUGAUCCUUGUGUCAUUGGUGCCACAUAAAGGUCAGUACUGAUCCUUAUUUCGUUAAUACCACGUAAAGGUCAGUACUGAUCCUUAUGUCGUUAGUGCCACGUAAAGGUCAGUACUGAUCCUUAUGUCGUUAAUACCAAGUAAAAGUCAGUACUGAUCCUUGUGUCGUUAGUGCCACGUAAAGGUCAGUACUGAUCCUUAUUUCGUUAGUACCACAUAAAGGUCAGUACUGAUCCUUAUGUCAUUAGUACCACAUAAAGGUCAGUACUGAUCUUUAUCCAAGCUAGUACCAUAUGUACCUUCAUAGAAUGGCAUUGGACCUGGUCCUGGUCACUCUCCAUAUGUAUACUGUGUUAACACGUUUCAUGUCUUAUUUUUACUUGAGGAAAGAAGGGCACAAGGUGAUCUUAUUAAGCCUUACAAGAUUAUCAGGGGAUUGAUAGGAUAAAGGCCUCUGAUUUUUUUGUGCUGUAUUCUGAGGAUAUUAGGAUAAAUGAAUACAAGUUCAAGAUUUGGAAAAGACAUGCUAGGCUCCAGUUAAGACAGUUUUAUUUUGCUAACAGGGUUUAUAAAAUGAGUUGCCAUUAACAGUAGUGAAGGCUGAUACUUUACAAGAGGGGAGUUGAUGAUUUCUUCUAAAUUAAAAGUAGGAGAAACAAAUAAUAAUGUGAAGAAUAAUUCAUCAGGUGAGCAGGAUGCUCUCCAGUGUGUUGUUUUAACUGUCCAUGUGUAAACUAGCUAUCUUGUGGUGAUGGAGCUACACCAUUGUCCAUCUAACAUAAAGGUCAAUCUUUGCAAAAGUGAAUGUUAAUCAUUCGAGAAGUCAAGCCUGCCAGUUGCUUCAAGUCCAUAUUAUCAAAUAUCAUUGAAAGUGAUCUUCUGUGUAAACAAGUCCACAUCCUGCUAACCACACUUUAUGGAAAUGUUGUCAUAAUAUAUUGGUUGUGUUUGAUCAGCAUCUAAUCAACUUAUUGUUUUCAACUUCAAUAAUGUCUUUGUUGUGUUUGAUCAGCAUCUAAUCAACUUAUUGUUUUCAACUUCAAUAAUGCCUUUAUUGUGUUUGAUCAGCAUCAAAUCAACUUAUUGUUUUCAACUUCAAUAAUGUCUUUGUUGUGUUUGAUCAGCAUCAAAUCAACUUAUUGUUUUCAACUUCAAUAAUGUAUUUGUUGUGUUUGAUCAGCAUCUAAUCAACUUAUUGUUUUCAAUUUCAAUAGUAUCUUUGUUGUGUUUGAUCAGCAUCUAAUCAACUUAUUGUUUUCAGCUUCAUUAAUGUCUUCAUCAGUCUGCAUAUGCUGUUAUUCAGAUUGGUAACUAACAUUACACCAACUUGCCUUCACUAUGCUAUGGAAUAUAGUCACCUGUUUUACAUGAAAAUGAACUCGCAGGUGCUACUGACAUUAGUAAAUUAUCUGUAGGAGUGUCUUGCUAGAACAUGGAAAAACUGAUAUUUCCUUACUUGUUUUGAACAGCGUAAUUUAAUUAUUUCACACAGUAUUUCUACAAGUGAAUUUGCAGAUUUUCACAAAAUCGUUUUGUAAUGAAUAUAACGCUGUUAAGUAAAUACCACAAUUUGUAAAUUGUAUUGAGAUAAGAAAUUUUUUUAAAGUAGUUUAUUAAUUUAUAAUGUAAUAUGAUGAUGUUAUUUAUGCAUGUUGUAAUAAUAAUUAAAAUGUUUUUUUGAUGCAAGUUACCUAUCAUAUCAACCAUGUGUUUGCCAUGAUCUUGGCUUGAGGUGAACUUGAAAGAAAUUCUACAUUUUCUUGUUUAUUUAAAUAAAUAAUCCAUCAAAUGUGUUUUAUUUAUUUGUUUUAAGGCAGCAUUUAUGGAUGAAAAUUAAAAUAUUUUUCUUAUAAUGUAAUAAUUUUCAGUGGUGAAAAUGUGAUGAAUUUUUCACUUUAGUUUGAAAACAGAUUGAAAGGUGAAAAUGAACCGAGGAUAAAGAGAAUUAGAAUCGACAUUCAAGACCUUGUAUUAGGUAAAGUUCCCUGUGUAGCAAAUCACGAGGGAAAAAUCGUUGGACUAAGCAAGCACCUGUGUGGAGCUGCAACAGAUCUUUCUCUGCGUUGCCUUGUUGAAAACUGUUGUGACCAGAACAAUGGAAACUUGAAACAAUGCGUUGAAGGACUUGUUCUGGCACCAUGCUGUCACCAUCGUUGUUCUUGGCAAAGCUAUGUUGGUCAGUUGUUUCUAAAGUCGCACGGUUUCACACCACGAGACUUUCAACUCAUGUGUGGUAUCGCAAGUUGGGCAACUUGUGGAUCCACAC